ACUCUCGAUAUCUCAGUUGGAGAGCGGAGGACUAUAGAUGUGUCAGCAGUUAUCCUUAGGUCGCUAGUUUAAAUUCCGGUUCGAAAUA